CAAAUGGUGGUGGUUCUCUGGUACAGUCUGCUCCUCCUGGAUUGUCCCUGUAUACAGUGUUAUAGUCAUGAAGUCUUCGUGUGAGAUAGGAAGAAGGGAAGUUAAUCUAUAAAGAACAUCAACAGUUAAAAGGAAAGAGGCUUGCUCUGUCACAUUUUAGUCAUGUAUAACAUUCUACAAAACAAUGUAGGAUACUUGUCAUUGAAUUAAAGAUCCAGCCGGAUAAUCCAGGAUGACUUCAUCAUCUCAACAUCCUUAAGUGGACUGUAUCCGCCAAUACUCUUCUUUCAAUAAGGUAAUAUACAUAAGUUCCAGGGUUAG
rnacentral:lncRNA from 1 species